AGCGAACGCUGGCGGCAGGCCUAACACAUGCAAGUCGAACGAACUCUUCGGAGUUAGUGGCGGACGGGUGAGUAACACGUGGGAACGUGCCUUUUGGUUCGGAAUAACUCAGGGAAACUUGUGAUAAUACCGAAUGUGCCCUUCGGGGGAAAGAUUUAUCGCCAUUAGAGCGGCCCGCGUCUGAUUAGCUAGUUGGUGAGGUAACGGCUCACCAAGGCGACGAUCAGUAGCUGGUCUGAGAGGAUGACCAGCCACACUGGGACUGAGACACGGCCCAGACUCCUACGGGAGGCAGCAGUGGGGAAUCUUGCGCAAUGGGCGAAAGCCUGACGCAGCCAUGCCGCGUGAAUGAUGAAGGUCUUAGGAUUGUAAAAUUCUUUCACCGGGGACGAUAAUGACGGUACCCGGAGAAGAAGCCCCGGCUAACUUCGUG
rnacentral:rRNA from 1 species